rnacentral:rRNA from 1 species
UACGAAGGGGGCUAGCGUUGUUCGGAAUUACUGGGCGUAAAGCGUGCGUAGGUGGUUUGUUAAGUCUGUUGUGAAAGCCCCGGGCUCAACCUGGGAAUGGCAAUGGAUACUGGCAGGCUAGAGUGCGGUAGAGGGUAGUGGAAUUCCCGGUGUAGCGGUGAAAUGCGUAGAGAUCGGGAGGAACACCAGUGGCGAAGGCGGCUACCUGGACCAGCACUGACACUGGAGGCACGAAAGCGUGGGGAGCAAACAGG